UCAAGUAUAUGGCCUUUAUGGUUCCCUGCUCCCCAGCCACGGUACCCUCCCUGCCCGAUGUAUCUUGAUUGCUCACCUGUCCCCGAGGUCUUCUUAAUCUUCUCCAGUGGGCACGGGCAGUUGUCAGCAGCCAGAGAACGGAGAAAAUUGUUGAGGGAGCUGUAAGGAGCCAGGUUCUCCCUCUUUGCACAAGGCAGUCCCAAAGGUGGCCCAGGAUGCCAGGCAAGCUGUAGGCCUUCUGCUUGGUGCCCGGGGACUGCUGCUUUGGGCCUUGUGGAACAGCAACUUUGUUGCCCUUGUACCAGACCCAUAGGGGGCAUUGGGAAGAGCCAAGCAAGCAGGACCAGAAUGAGGUUUGGCUCUUGGUUUUCUCCGUAUGCUGCUCCUCAGGAAGGACCUGGUUUGUCUUCGUGUCCUUGGUCCCGAUGGGGCAGGAUGUCAGGCCAAACAAGCAGCGCCAGGUGGAGGUCUGCCUCUUGGUCUCCUCUGUACGCUGCUCCUCAGGAAGGGCCUGGUUGUCCUUCCUGUCCUCGAUCGUGGUGGGGAAGGAGGUUAGGCCAAAGCAGGAGUGCCGGCUGGAGGUCUGGCUCUUGGUCUCCUCCAUGGCCUGCUCCUCAGGAAGGGCCUUGUUCUUGUUCUUCUCCUCAGUCCUGAAAGGGCGGGACGUUAGGCCUAGCCAGCAGCGCCAGGUGGAGGUCUGCCUCUUGGUCUCCUCCAUAGGCUGCUCCUCAGGAAGGGCCUGGUUGUCCUUCCUGUCCUCGAUCGUGGUGGGGAAGGAGGUUAGGCCAAACCAGGAGUGCCAUCUGGAGGUCUGGCUUUUGGUCUGCUCCAUGGCCUGCUCCUCAGGAAGGACCAGGUUGUUCUUUGUGUCCUCGAUCCUGUCAGGGCAGGAGGCUAGGCCAAACCAGCAGCACCAGGUGGAGGUCUGCGUCUUGGUCUCCUCCACAGGCUGCACCUCAGGAAGGACCGGGUUGUUCUUCCUGUCCUCGAUCCUGAUGGGGCAGGAGGUUAGGCCAAACUAGCAGCGCCAGGUGGAGGUCGGGCUGUUGGUCUCCUCCAUAGGCUGCUCCUCAGGAAGGGCCUCGUUGUUCUUCUCCUCAGUCCUGACAGGGCAGGACGUUAGGCCUAACCAGCAGCACCAGGUGGAGGUCUGGCUGUUGGUCUCCUCCACAGGUGGCUCCUCUGGAUGGAUCUCGUUGUUGUUGUCCUCGACCCUGAUGGGACAGGAGGUUAGGCCGAACCAGCCCCGCCGGGUGGAGGACUGGCUCUUGGUCGCCACCCGAUGCUGCUCCUCGGGAAGGACCUUUUGGUCACAACUACAGACCCAGCUGAGGUAGCUGGGACAGCCUGGGCCAUGUCCCGCAAAUGGAGACAGGCUCAGAGCCAUGGCCAGGAAGAGAGUCAGGCUGAACUUCAUCCUCUUCUCUCCCAAAGAACAAUCUCUACACACAAAUGGCUGUCACCCAGAGCAGAGCUCCCGCAGUGACCACCAGGACAGAGCGGUUGCUCCAAGUGUCUGAGGUGGGGGAGGCGUCCAGCGUGACUUGACCAAGUCUGAUGUCAUGCCCUGUUCUGUGUUGUCACAAUGCCUUUCCCCCACCUUGGCCAUAGGAUUCCCAGUGUGUCCUGGGAAUUGGAAAUGGACACCCUGGUGGAUUUCUCAGAUUCGUCCUCACCUCUUCUUCCUUGUUGGGUGGCCUGUAGCACACUCCCAUGAUAAUAUCAGUUUUAUUGGCCUUCGCUUUUAUUCUGACCCAUAAGCUCUCCACCCUAUCAUCACCAUCAUUAAUUUCCAUACAUUCACAUUCUUUCUUAACAUAGAGGGUUACACCACCGCCUUUCCUGCCUUGCCUGUCUCUUUUGAAAAGUCGGUACCCAUCCAUCACAGCACUCCAGCUCUGCUAGUCAUUCCAGCACGUUUCCUUGAUGAUGACUGUAUCAUAGGUUUCCGACCACACAAUGGCCUCCAGCUCCUCCUGUUUAUUACCCAUGCUGCAUGCGUUAGUGUAAAGGCACCUGAGCUGGGCCUCCUUUUGAGUGGCAGUAGCCCUAAUACUCUCACGACCAUACUCAGGUGUUUCCACAGCCACCAACCUCACACCAACCCUUGUGUUCUUCGUACAAAAGGGCGAGUCAUCCUCCUUCUUCACCAAGACACAAGACGGUGGGAUCUUACUAGCACAUCCCUCUCCUACAAGCACUGGCACGUUACAUACAUGCUCGAUUCUAGUGACCCCAGUUAUACCCCACCCCUCUUCAUACCUAGUUUAAAGCUCUAUCAGUGAGACCUUCCCAACUCCUGUCUUAAGACCCCUUUCCGCCGGUGAGAGAAGCUACUCCUAUCAGUUGCCAGCCAGUCUGGUCUCAUGCAAACAGAGCAGAGGUCAAAAAACCCAAGCCCCUGCCAGGCACACCAGGCUCGGAGCCAGGUGUUAAUCCGUUGGCCCAUCAUAUUUAGUCCAUCAUCAUUCCCUAUAACUGGAGGGAUAGAGAACACAACUUGUGCUCCCGAACCCUUGGCCUGUCGCCCCAAGGUUCUGAAGUCCUUUUUCAUAGGCUUUAGGGAAUUUCUUCCUUCCUAUAUCAUCGCUGCCAAUCUGAAACAACAACAGGGGAUAGUAAUCUGGGGGCCGAACUAGGCAAGGAAGUUUCUUCCUCAUGUCUUUGGCUCCUGGGAGGCAGCAGCCCUCCCUGUGUAGAGGGUCUGGUCUACAUAUUGGCCCUUCUGUUCCCUUCAGCAGAGUCACCAGUGACAAUGACCCGUCGUUUUUUCUUUGCUGAUGAGGUUUUAAUGCUAAGCGAGGACUGGUUGGACUUUGGUAACACCACCAAGUGGGGAGAACCAUCGUCACAGCCAUUGUCCAGCUGUCCCCGUAGAGCACUGUACUUGCUCUGCAAGGGCAGCUGGGGAGGCAGGGGAAUCUCUGCAUCGCCGAGCAGGGGCCUUUUGCCACUGCCCCACACCCCCCAAUUCUUCACCGUUGUUUCUAGGGGGAGGGGAGGACAGGAGGCUCACUGCAGCAGGAACACUGUCUGCCUGCUGGUUCCCCUCUGUCACCUGUUUGCAAGGCGGCAGGGUGGCACCUACUCCGUGUGGAGCCUCAGCUGGCUGCCAAGAUCUCGGGUCAUACAGAGCUUGGCACCACCAAACAAUCUCCCUCUCCGUCUCCCUCAGGCUUUUUCAAGGCAAGGGGGCGCUAACGCAGAGCCGUUGCCCAGGCAACGCCCAUUCAAUGUCAGCCGCUCUUGCCAGAGCUGCCGGGCUGCUCUGUUAUCCCACGGUUCCAGGGAUGAAGGAACCGAUGAAGGAACCGACUGAAACCCCCCUGUACCUCGCGGUCAGUCCCUGCUAUUCAGUCCAGGAAAGCUCUGGAGCAGCUCACCUCGGCAAUCAAAAUAUGACAUAUAUAAUUAAAUAGAAUAUAUUUAUAUGAUAUUUAAAUUAUAUAUAUAUGUAUAGUAAUAUAUAUAUAAUAAAUAUAUAAUAUAAUGAUAUCUAUAUAUUAUAUACAUAAAUAUAUAAUACAUGCGUAUAUAUUAUAUAAUAUGUGAUAUAAUUAUAUCUACAAUUAUGUGUAAUAGAUAUAAAUGAGAUCUCAAUUUGCUGCAUAGUGCAGAGGAGCUGUUCUGCAGGUAGGAAUGUCCUAACCUCAGCGCUUCAAACUAUUGCAGAAGAAAGGGUUUACGGUUCUGAGGUUGAGCCCCAUGUAGGAUAGUUGGCUGCACUGUGGGAAGAGACUUCUCAUAUGGCUUGUUACAUUGUGGUGCUACACUAUUACCGAUCCAUUACAGAUCACCUUCAGCAAAUAGGUUUAGGUUAGAUACUGUUGUAGUAGGCAUCUUGCGGGGGUACGGGAUGUACGGGACAGGCCUCUCCCUAAGCAUAGAGAGACAGUGCUACCGUGCUGACCUUGAUGCAGAGAAAACAGGAGAAGAAGAAAGAUGAGAAAAGAAUGUGGAAAUGGCCAAAUAAGGCACAAUGUUAUCUGGUGUGAACCAAUCAGGGUGGGACAUGACAGCGCGGUUAUGUAGGUAAAAAUGUAUAGAAGCUGUAUUUGGUAGUGAAUAAACGCCAUUUUGCUGCUCAUCAUAUUGGUGUGCGUCUGCAGUCAUUUGGCCCUGAUCAGGCUAUUGGUCAGUGAGCGCAGAGGCCUAACACAGGUGGCUAACAUCGUUGUUGCAGAAAGCAACAAAUGGUGCCCCGUGUGAGGCACAGACUGUGUUGUGAUGCCCUCUGCGUGGCUACGAGCUGUGGGGUGACGCCGUAGCACGAGAUUUGGGGUGACGCCCAGCCCGCGUGCCCUGAAGAGAGGGGGAGCCUGCAGACUGGGGUGACGCCCUGCAGAAGAUGGUGGCGACGACGAUAGUGCCGGCUGGCAAGUAGAACCUGUGUUGCGGUGGGGUCUGGGGGGACGACAGGGCGCUCACGGAGGACCCGUGUGGACGGCGGCGUCGAGUGUGACUUGGUGGUGACAGCGACGGGCUGACCAUGGACCAUGUUCUUAAGGAUGCUUGUAGAAGUGCCUUCAACGAAUGAUGGACAAGACCUUUGACUAUCGAAUUGAGUAUCAUAGAUUGCGUGAAAAAUUAUAGAGGGGUUUAGGUUGUUGCGUUCAUGCUGUAAAGGGGCAAGGCUUGGCCGAGCACGGGAAAGGAUUCCCUGUUGCUCUGAUGAUUGCUUAAGAAUGGUAGAAGAAGGUAUUAGGAAUAGUGUGCUGAAAUAUAUUUAGGAUUAGGCGUUUUGCGCUGCUUUGCGACGUACGGGUUAGGCGUGUGUGCAAGUAGUAUUUAGCUUAGGGAGGGGGAGAUGUUGUAGUAGGCAUCUUGCGGGGGUACGGGAUGUACGGGACAGGCCUCUCCCUAAGCAUAGAGAGACAGUGCUACCGUGCUGACCUUGAUGCAGAGAAAACAGGAGAAGAAGAAAGAUGAGAAAAGAAUGUGGAAAUGGCCAAAUAAGGCACAAUGUUAUCUGGUGUGAACCAAUCAGGGUGGGACAUGACAGCGCGGUUAUGUAGGUAAAAAUGUAUAGAAGCUGUAUUUGGUAGUGAAUAAACGCCAUUUUGCUGCUCAUCAUAUUGGUGUGCGUCUGCAGUCAUUUGGCCCUGAUCAGGCUAUUGGUCAGUGAGCGCAGAG
ensembl:lncRNA